rnacentral:rRNA from 1 species
AGUGAACGCUGGCGGUAGGCCUAACACAUGCAAGUCGGACGGCAGCACAGUAAGAGCUUGCCCUUACGGGUGGCGAGUGGCGGACGGGUGAGGAAUACAUCGGAAUCUACUUUUUCGUGGGGGAUAACGUAGGGAAACUUACGCUAAUACCGCAUACGACCUACGGGUGAAAGCAGGGGAUCUUCGGACCUUGCGCGAUUGAAUGAGCCGAUGUCGGAUUAGCUAGUUGGCGGGGUAAAGGCCCACCAAGGCGACGAUCCGUAGCUGGUCUGAGAGGAUGAUCAGCCACACUGGAACUGAGACACGGUCCAGACUCCUACGGGAGGCAGCAGUGGGGAAUAUUGGACAAUGGGCGCAAGCCUGAUCCAGCCAUACCGCGUGGGUGAAGAAGGCCUUCGGGUUGUAAAGCCCUUUUGUUGGGAAAGAAAGGCAGCAGGUUAAUACCCCGCUGUUCUGACGGUACCCAAAGAAUAAGCACCGGCUAACUUCGUG